GACGUAGGGCGCGAGCGUUGUCCGGAUUUAUUGGGCGUAAAGAGCUCGUAGGCGGCUUGUCGCGUCGUUCGUGAAAAACCUGCAGCUCAACUGCAGGCUUGCGGUCGAUACGGGCAGGCUAGAGUUCGGUAGGGGGAGACUGGAAUUCCUGGUGUAGCGGUGAAAUGCGCAGAUAUCAGGAGGAACACCGGUGGCGAAGGCGGGGUCUCUGGGCCGAUACUGACGCUGAGGAGCGAAAAGCGUGGGGGAGCGAACAGG
rnacentral:rRNA from 1 species